rnacentral:sRNA from 1 species
ACAUAUCCUAUACUUUUAAAUUACGUAAUAAAGAAAAAAAGUCUUGGUACACGUUUCAUCGAAACAGGGAAGAUCACAUACAAAAUUUUGUUAAAACGCAAUCUUCCAUUAAUAUUAAUUAAAAAUUAAACAACCAGCACCUGCUAUACUUGAGUGAAUAUGAAAUAAUUCAUGAUAUGAUUAAUAUUAGUCGACUAUUUGGAAAAAGGACGAUUUAAUUGGAUUUUGAAUGAGCUUUUAACACUUGGUAAAAAAAUCUGACAGUUUUAAGUACCAUUAAUUUUUUUAUAAGGUUUGAACAUUUUGAUAAUUAAUUAUGUCAAUUCAUGUUACAUUUUCUUUUUUUAAUUAAGAUAGAUAUGUUGCAUGUAAUGUUUAUGUUUUACUUUUAUAUGAUAUGAAAUUGUGUACAGCUAUACCAGUAAAACUGCUUUUCAUAAAAAACAAUUCAUAUCUUACUUUAAAAAAUAUAAUUAUUUUUUACGGCAAGGUAUAAUGUAAAUAUUUCACCUGAAAAGUUUAUGUUUUACCUUGAUAUGAAAGUUUAAGAAACUUAACUGUGUAAUUUUCUGUAAUAAAAAAUCAUCUCUU